ACCAGAGUGGCGUAGUGGUUAGCGCUUCUGCCUAAUCAGCAGGAGACUUGGGUUCGAAUCCCAGCCUUGGUA